UGGGGAAUAUUGCACAAUGGGCGAAAGCCUGAUGCAGCAACGCCGCGUGCGGGAUGACGGCCUUCGGGUUGUAAACCGCUUUCAGCAGGGACGAAGGUUUUCUGACGGUACCUGCAGAAGAAGCACCGGCUAACUACGUGCCAGCAGCCGCGGUGAUACGUAGGGUGCGAGCGUUGUCCGGAAUUAUUGGGCGUAAAGAGCUUGUAGGCGGUCCGUUGCGUCGGAAGUGAAAACUCAGGGCUUAACCCUGAGCCUGCUUUCGAUACGGGCGGACUUGAGGGAUGUAGGGGAGAACGGAAUUCCUGGUGGAGCGGUGGAAUGCGCAGAUAUCAGGAGGAACACCAGCGGCGAAGGCGGUUCUCUGGACAUUUCCUGACGCUGAGAAGCGAAAGCGUGGGGAGCAAACAGGCUUAGAUACCCUGGUAGUCCACGCCGUAAACGGUGGGCACUAGGUGUGGGACCCAUUCCACGGGUUCCGUGCCGUAGCUAACGCAUUAAGUGCCCCGCCUGGGGAGUACGGCCGCAAGGCUAAAACUCAAAUGAAUUGACGGGGUCAUAGCUGUUUCCUG
rnacentral:rRNA from 1 species